GCUCCAGUGGCACAAUGGGUUAGCGUGUGGUACUGAUAUGACAAUAUAGUGAUGCCAAGGUUGUGAGUUCAAGUCUCACCUGGAGCA
rnacentral:tRNA from 1 species